CCGGCCGGUGAAGGGAGCAGCGACGUGCGGUGCGCCGCCGCGGGAUUUCUUGGAGCCGAGGAGACGGGAAGCGGAGAAGCGCUGCUCUCGCGCUUUCUCUCCACGAUGCGGGAGGGGAUGAGGCGGCCCCAGCUGUUGAAGAAACGGCGGAGACGGCGACGAGUGGGGUAAACUGUAGCAGAGGCCUUUAGGAUUACCCGUUGUUCUUCACUUCUGCCUUGAAACGCUGCUAAAAUGCACCAGAAACUCCUUAAGAGUGCUCAUUACAUUGAGCUGGGGAGCUACCAGUACUGGCCUGUCUUGGUGCCUCGAGGGAUCCGCCUGUACACCUAUGAACAGAUUCCAGUAUUCCUUAAGGACAAUCCUUACAUCACGGAUGGCUACAGAGCAUACCUGCCUUCCAGGCUAUGUCUGAAAAGCUUGUUCAUUUUGUCCAACGAGACAGUCAACAUCUGGAGUCACUUGCUGGGCUUCUUCCUCUUCUUCAUUAUGGGCAUCUAUGACAUGACUUCUGUGUUGCCUUCGGCGAGUGCCUCAAGAGAAGAUUUUGUCAUAUGCUCCAUUUGUCUCUUCUGCUUUCAGGUCUGUAUGCUUUGCUCAGUAGGGUAUCACCUUUUCUGUUGUCAUCGCUCAGAAAAAACCAGCCGACGGUGGAUGGCCCUGGAUUAUGCAGGAAUUUCCAUAGGUAUCCUGGGCUGUUACGUAUCUGGAGUCUUUUAUGCAUUUUAUUGCAAUAAUUACUGGCGCCAGGUGUACCUGAUCACCGUGCUUGCGAUGAUUUUGGCCGUCUUCUUUGCUCAGAUCCACCCCAGUUACCUCACUCAGCAGUGGCACCAGCUGCGCUCAGUCAUAUUCUGCUCCGUCUCAGGCUACGGGAUCAUUCCAACCAUCCAUUGGAUUUGGCUCAAUGGCGGCGUCAGCACAUCUAUUGUCCAGGAGUUUGCUCCACGUGUGAUUGUGAUGUACUUGAUAGCUGCUAUAGCUUUUCUCUUCUAUAUUUCUAAAGUCCCAGAACGGUAUUUCCCUGGGCAGUUAAACUACCUCGGCUCCAGCCACCAACUAUGGCAUAUCCUUGCAGUGAUGAUGCUGUACUGGUGGCAUCAAUCGACAGUGUACAUCAUGCAGUACAGACACAGCAAGCCGUGUCCUGACCACAGCGCAUAGUAGUGCAUGAAGUUCCCAGCACAUGACACUGUCAGCUUCUCGUCAUUCUGCCGUUCGCCCAGCAGAGUAUUUGUUAUGACUGUUGGGUGGGGAAAUGGAGCUGUGCGCUUUUUUUGCAUCCCGUGGCUCUUUACAAGUACAAGCAUUUGGCUUUAAUCAAAUACACACAGAAGGAAUACAGUGACCUAAGAGAGUGAUAUCCUUGGCCAUGCCUCCUCUGGCACUUCUGGGCACUCUUCACCGAUGUGGCAGCCAUCUCAUGUUCCAGAAAAGUGAGCAAGACCAUUGCCCAGUAGGACUUCUUGUUGGCAGGUGUUACCACCUCGAAACAGUUGUUACUGCAGGAACUAGAGGAUGGACAAACUGCAAGGCUUGAGGCAGAGGGUCGGCAUGGCGGCACCGUUCUGACCGUGAUUGUCUCCUUUCUGGCUGAAUCCAGCUGAGCUGCUGUUCUGUCCUUUUUGGAAUCCUUGCACUGGACUACGGAUAAUACAUCAACAGGCGUUUCAAUGACUCCGGCUGCCAAAUAACAUUUUGUAUAAGUUUAGAACAGUAAAGAAGCUGCAGAGGUUGCCUUGCAUGACUGGGCCCUGUGAAGUACUGGUUGCUCUUCCUACUGUUGAUGAACAAGGCUUUCGCCUGGGAACUCCUUGAUAGGAUAAACUGGAAAACCUGUGGCAGCGUUCUCUAAAAUGCAUGCACACGAUGUUCCUGCCAUGAAUUCUCUUUUUGACAUCAUGCCUUGGAACUUGAAAAUCUGUGUCCUCUGUUGUACUUUUGAAUACGUUCCGUUUCCUUGCACUGAUAUUGUUGUUCUACUACUUAAACUAUGGAUCUGAUGGGUUUUUACUGGACUCUUCUGCCCCCUUUCCUUUACCAAAAUAAUCUGCUUUCGCUUCCUUCAGGAUAAUGGAACAGAUUAAUCACAGCUGGGAAAGAGCAGGACCUCCCGCAUAAUUUGGUUUGCAAGCUGCCUUUCAGAACAUUACAACAUUAAUAGUCAUCAACAGAGGCCCCUGUGGGUUACCCUAGAAAUCUAGGCAUGUGAGUCUGAAAGGUUUGUAGAUUCAUAUGAAAAAUACAUUAAAUAUUGUACAAAUUACUCCUUCGCUAAGAUGAACUUGCUCUUUAGGAGGACGUCAUUUGUUGCCAGCCACAGAGGAGCCUCUUCCUGUCUUGGGAUCUUUUUUUUAAAAAAAAAAAGAAUGAAUGAAUGAAUGCCAGUGGCUCCUAUAAUAUGUUUGCUGUUGCGUGAAUUAAUUCAGUGAUCCUAGAACAACUUUGGAGUGGGCCUUUUGAAACUGACCACCAGAUCUGAGCAAAAUGACAUGGAGAAUGGUGGGUCCCCCUCCCCCCCGGGGUAAAGUAGAAGCAGGGGUGCUCCUUCACCCUGUGCCUGCUUUUCCCAUACUGCUUCUCCCUUCCCCAUAUGGUAUGGGUUUGGGGGGGAUUUUAAAGAAGGCUUAAUAGUUCUGCAUCCACCUAGAUGUUCCUGGUUGAUGAUGAUUUGCCAAUGAGAUGUGGCCAGGGUCUCCAAAUCCAAGAGGGCUGCAGAAUCUUUGACGCUAGGCACAGUGUGGUUCAGGUUUGCUAUUUUGGAAAACGUCAUUUCGGAGUUAAGCUGAACAAAUUAAUUGAUGAACUACAGGAGUCCGCUAGACAUGGUGUAUAACAACAUCUCACUGCUGGCAGAAGUAAACAGCCGUUUUAAGUUGUAGGCCUGUAUCCUAAGGCCUCAAAGGAUAAAACUUGAAAUUGCCAACUCCUGCAGCACUGCUUUCAAGUUAUCAAAAAAUGUUGGCUACUUUGUAUGUGGCCCCAGUGAAUAGAAAGGAUGGAUGGAUAUACUGUAGGAGUGAUCCUGGAAUGGCUGUUGCACGUGGAACUACUAAUAUGAACUGGGUUGUGUUUAAAUGUAAGUGGGUAUACCUCACCUCGCUUGUAUGAGCCAUUUUGUUACGAUCAAAGCAUUGGUGGUUCUCAAGAAAUGCGUGGACAUGUUCUAGACAAUGACGUACUGAGGUCUUGAUUCACAUUAAAAGCUCUAUGGAAGAGGCGAGAGGAGGAUGUGCGCUUGGCCCGUUCCUUCAUGUUCAGGCACGGUCUGAGCCAGUUCUCCAUUUUAAAACUCUUCUAAUCAAGAGUGGGAAACUUAGAACUGGAUUUUCAUGGCUUCAAAGUUUGACCACAUUUGGUCCAAAGUUAGCAUACUUGACUUUUACUUGAGACAAGAGCAAGACCGCACCCAGUCUACCUAGUAGAGAUGACUGAAAAUAAACUGUCAGGGUGAGGAAUCGGCUUGCACUUCACUCUGCCAUGGGGGACCCUCCAUGUGUGAAAACAAUAUAUGCUUCCAUUAAAUCUGCCUUUAAAAAAGCCAAGAGCUGCUGUCUUUAGUUGCAGCACUGAUUGCUCACACCAGGGCAAGUACACUGAAAGCUGUGGGACCAUUGUUUGUGUGUGAGCGACGGUGGCCUCCCUUCUAAUGAAUUUCUUAUGCUCCUUUCUAAAAAGAAAUUAAGUAGCUGGUGGCAGAGGAGAGAGAAACUUCCUUUAAACUAAUUUCAUUUCAAACUCUCUUCCUUCUUCAGUGGGAACAGUGUUUUUUCUUGAAGAUAGAUCAUUGCAAUGGUUUAAGCUUCUUGGUUAAUGUCUUGAACAAAGUCCAGAUGUUCACAUUUUAGCUCCUGUGGUUGUACCUUAUUGAACAAACUUAGUGUAGCACAACAGAAUGUUUGUCGGAGCCUAACAGUGGCAAACUAAUCAUUGUCCAAGUGACUUUUUUAAAGGUGGAAAGUAACCUCCGUAUUAUUUGGCUGCCUUCUCAUGCUUUAGGAGCAUAAUAAUAGUGAGACAAACUGGCUGCAUUUUUAAGGAAAAUCGUAUCUCUGUGUGCAAUAAAUGCCUUAUCUUUUGUGAUGGAAAGCUGCAGUAGAUCACAACACGCUUAACCAUAGGACUGAGAAACUUGUCAUGCAUGGAUAUUGAAGGCAAGAUUGAUGAGCUGGGGUGGGGGGGGCGUGUUUUUAAAAAAAUUGCUUCCUGUACCAUUGAAGGCAAAUUUUCGUUUAGAAAAAGAGACGUAACCAUGUGGUUUUAUUUUGAAAUUGGGGAAGCAAAGGUCUUAUUUUUUAAAAAAAAUCCCAGAAGAGUAGAAAAUUUGAGUGUUUUUUUAAAAAGCAGCAGCAGAAUUUUCAGUUUGCCAAGGUAGAGUAUGGCAGCUCUACUUGUAUACUGUCCAUGACAAAACCUUUGUUAAUUGAUGCUUGUGUAAGAGAGACCUUGUCUUUGUUUUAAUUUAUUUUAAAGGUAUUGUGUAUACAUGUUUCCAACGUAAUAGUUCUUUGGAGACCUGCAGCAACCUAAAUGCAAAACGACAAAAGAACAAUAAUGUAAGUCUUGUCUUCUAAACCUCUGGUCCUUCCGAGGAAAGUGGUAUUGGCCAAGCAAAGAUGUACCAAUAACUGCUACUGGGGCCUCAUUUUGUAUUAGACUCCAUAGGCUUGCUAGAAGCAGUUAUUUAGAUGGUCUCACUUGUAGCUUAGGGUAGUUUUUUUAACAAUUUCUGUACCCACUUGCCUUGUACAAGUGAAAAGGGGAAAACAUUCUUUAACAACACUAGCGCAAUUUAAUUUAGUAGCAUGCUCUGAUUUAUGUAAAUACUGCCUUUGUAAAUAAAGAGUUUACAGAA